CAGUGAUAAAACACACACACACACACACACACACACACACACACACACACAUACACAUACACACACUAACCUGAAAGGAAGGACAGACUGAGGGAUCUCGAUCAUAAGUUUGAUAAAGUGAGAACCUUCACUGGGAGGUGUCGUGAUCCGAUGCAGAGCUGCUGACUCUGUAUCUAAGGCUGAGCCCAGACAACCUGCCAAAUAAUCACAUUUUGGUCUUUUGUCUCCGUUAUCUCAUUCUUUCAGCGACUAUCCAGACCAAGAGUGAGAGGUGGAGCUUCGAUCCACUGGACCUAAUAGAUUCAACCUAAUGGAAAAAUGACCCUAACUCCCACUUGAUUUAUUAGCUCAGUGUUCAGUUUCCUAAUGACUUUAUGGUCUCAAUUGUUUGUUUCAAGUCUUCCAUACAGCAUGAUGUUCAUUUUGUAAAUUAUGGUACAAUUUAGAGUAGAAUGUACGUAAUAAAACAGGGUAUGUUUUAGGGUGUGGCUACCUUGUGAUUGACAGUCUCGGUGAGUCCGUCCAGCUCAACAACAUAUUUUAGUGUACUGUUUAUUUCUAACAAGUUUUAUCAUUCAUCCUCAUCAAUCAUCAAACAUUGUUUACUGCUGUGGACAAGUUGAAACCAAAGCCAGUAAGUGCACCUCAACAGCAGUACAUCACCGGUUACUGGUUGCAAAGACCCAACAUGGUGACUCAAUUAUUUAAGAAGGAGUAAUAUGCAGACUCUUUUAUUGUUGCUAAUUUUCAAAUCCAGGUUGUGAUAGCAAAAUCAUUAUGUGCAUGUUAGCAAGAUGACAUAGCAUUUAGCUCGCCUAAGUUGUGGCUAAGAACAUCCUCACAGAGCUCCUAUAUGUAGACAACAACAACAACAACAGUGCUGAUGGCCACACAAAUCACUUGACACUUGAGUCAGGAAGACAUGAAGACAUCAUUAACAAAAUAAAACCUACAAAUAGGCUGCAUUAUGCUUCCACUUAGAUACCCAGAGAUACUAGUGGUAUGAAAACAGUAACAUGUUUCCUGCUGUUUCUUUGUCAUGAUAUUUCCUAGAAGUGCGGCAUCAACUUUGUGAACUUUAACAAGAAGUUUCCUUUAAGCUCACUGUCUUGUGGCGGUGCAAAACAUCACAGAUCACACUGGAAAGACACAGCUGAUGUCACUGUGCACGCAUGUGCUCGUGUGUCGGACCACAGACCACAAAAACAGUCAUCAGUCCGUCAGGCUCCUGAAGUUCGACACCACCCUCAUUGGGCUCAUCUCAGGUGAAGAUGAGUCCGCCUACAGGUGGGAGAUUGACCAUGUGGUGACCUGGUGUAGCCAGAACAAUCUGGAGCUUAAUGCUCUUAAGAUGCAAGAAGUGUAGAUGGCUGUGGACUUCAGGAAGAACCCAGCCCCACCCACCCCCAUCAUCCUGUGUGACUCCCCAGUCGACUCCACUUCCUGGGUACCAUAAUAACCCAGGACCUCAAGUGAACCUCACCAAAAAAAGCACAACAGAGGAUGUACUUCCUGUGGCAGCUGAAGAGGUUCAACCUGCCAAAAACGAUGAUGGUACACCGCCAUCAUCGAGUUCAUCCUCACCUCCUCCAUCACUGUCUGGUACGCUGCUGCCACUGCCAAGGACAAGGGCAGACUGCAGCUGAUCAUUCGCUCCACUGAGAAGGUGGUCGGCUGCAAUCUGCCAUCUCUCCAGGAUCUGUACGCCUCCAGGACCCGGAGGCGUGCAGGUAAGACUGUGGCUGACCCCUCCCACCCCGGACACAACCUCUUUUAGUCACUUCCCUCUGGCAGGAGGCUGCGGUCCAUCAGGUCCAAAACAUCCUGCCACAAGAACAGUUUCUUCCCAUCUGCAGCUGGCCUCAUUAACUAAUUGGAAGGUCGUUGAUUCGAUCUCCGGCUCCUCCUCCUUUGACUUUAUCUUUGCACAUUUCUGUACAGCUCUUCACUUGUUUAUAUUCUCUUUUUAUAUUUGUAUAUACUGGCUCCUUUUAUUGCCUCUGUUUUUAUCUUUGUUUAUAUUUUUCUAUGUGUAAUUGUUAUGCACCAACUUACCAAGGCAAAUUCCUUGUAUGUGAAAACCCACUUGGCAAUAAACCUGAUUCUGAACAUAGAA